GGAUGCUAAGAGUUGAUCCGGGGCUUGCAAAUACACGAGGUUCCUAAUUAUAAUGUAAAGAUACACAUUUGUAUCUAAUUAGUACUUAGAUUGAUUGUUGGAUAGGGACAAUUGUUUCUAGUCGCGAAAACACUCCGAUACGAGUGUUUGGAGGGACCCGGGUGGCGUUUAAGGAUGGGAAAUGACACUAGGGACUUGGGACUUGAGUUUACUCCCCAUGAGUAAACUUAUACAAGAGUGUUAGGUCCAAAACACCCAUUCCCCAUGAGUUUACGGCCGUAAACUCAUGGUAGGGUGGUUUAGAGUGCAAAUUUGGGUUAUAAAUGGAUAUGGACACUUGGAAAUGCUUGGAUUAAUUUUUCUUAAGGCUUGGAUUAAUUUAAAAACAUCAUUUACAACACAUAAGGGAGUUUACGGCCUAGGCAUGGGUUCUUUGGCCGUAAACUCUCAAUUCUCCAAGAUUUAGUGUUUUUAAGUUGUUAAAAUCAAUCACAUGUGAUUCUAAAAAUUCCCACAAGCCUAGAAAUGAGUUUACAAGUGACAUAUGAGGCAUUUAUGGAGUUUACGGCCCAUGAAACCCCCUUCAUGGCCGUAAACUCUAAUAUAGGGAGCUACAAGGUGUUUCAAGGUCUAAAACUUGCAUGAAUGGACUUCUAAAAUUCAUCUAAGGGCCUUAGGGGUGUGUAGUUUGCAUUCUAACACCAAAAAUUUUGGAGUUUACGGCCCAAGAACAUGUCUUGGCCGUAAACCCUUAGAAACCCCAUAAAUGUUGUGUUUUAGGCCCUCAAAGUAUUUUUGGUUGGUCCCUUGAUUUAUUCCAAGGCUUUUGGUGGUGUUGGAUGGCUUUCUAACACCUUAGAAUGAGAUUUAUGCCAAGUUUUGUGGAGUUUACGGCCCAAGAACUCUCCUUGGCCGUAAACUCAUCUAAGUCCCUCAAAAUUAAUGUUUCAAGUGUCCAAAUGCAAGAAUCAAAGUCCUAUAAUUCAUAUCUAAGCUGUAGGGGUGAUUUGGAAGGGUUUAAAGACAUGAAAAACACCAUUUUCAUGAGUUUACGGCCCAAGCUUAUGCCUUGGCCGUAAACUCCUUCAAAGUCCACAAAAUUAUAGUUUUAGGUGUUCUAAGUCCAUAUCUUGAAGUCCCUUAGCCAUAUCUAAAGUCCAAAUGAGUUAAGGAAGGAGUUUAAGGGCUAAAAACUCUUCUAAAUGGUGUUUACGGCCUAGGCAGCCUCCUGGGCCGUAAACUCACAUAUAAUGUCCAAUUUUAUGAUUAAGUGUCUAAUUUGGAAGCUAAACAUGCUAUAGAUUAAGGCUAGGAAGGUACCUUAAGGAUUUGAAGCCUUAAAUUUGAGUUUUGGACACUUAAUCUUUGGAUUUAGGAGAGAGGUUAGAGAGAGAGUAGAGAGAGAAGGAAAAAGCUUCAAAUGAGUGCUUAAACAUGUUUAUAUAGUCCCUAAAACUUGGACACGGUGGAAUUCUACCCGAUACCGGCCUUAAACGAUGCUUUAGGUCGCACCCGAUUGAGUUUUCGUCACCCGACGAGGAUAUUUCUAAAACUUAAAAAAUAAAUGUUUUGGGCUAAAUUCAUGAGUUCCUAAAUGAUUUGGACCCUCAUUGAAUGAAAAUAAAUAUAUAAUUUUAGUUAACUAAGCCCAAAAACGAUAACGGGACAUUUCGAUUUCCGACGAGUUAUUCGGGUAGAACGGGUUUUCGGCGAUGAACAACUUCGGGUUGUUACAUUAUCCCCCCGUUAGAGGGAAUUUCGUCCCGAAAUUCAAAGAAUAAGAUACAGGUCAUGGAUUUGAAAUGAAAUACGAAUGGAUUUGUUGUCUCGGAUAUUCACUUCCUCAAGUGGAAUCUGGUUUCUGUUGGGCGUUCUAGUGAAUUCUCACUAUCGGGACAUGUCCUUGUUUCGUAUCUUGACUCUCUCUCAAUCUACGAUAUCAAUCUGCUUUCUCGUGGAAGUUCCAUCUCUGAACGACUUCGGUUUCCUCAAGGAAUUACUAGGGUUUCGUUGGGCAGACGCUUCUAUGGAUUCGAGACGUGAGGGUCUAGAUAGAUAUUACCAAGCUCUAAGGGCAUCCGAAACUCGAAGAUUACAGAAUCGAUCUCUACGAAGAUCUCGAAAGGUUUGAUGUGAGACUAAACUAUACGUUCGGAAGAAACUCUUGGGGCUAAGUCGCUAGUGCACUCAUUCUCACUGGUAACCAUAUUGACGGAAAAUGUUUCGAUUAAUAGACGAGGACUAUAUUUACGAAGAUAUUUGAAUGAAUGACUAAUAAAACUUUCUUAAUACUAGAUUCAAAAAGAGCGCGAACAUAUGAAUUGUCGAGAAAAAUAUACCCACGGCAGUGGGAUCAGUGGCUGCUUUCUCUUGCUUCAUAGCUAAAACCAUCUUGGCGUUGUUGAUGUUGUUGGUGGUUGCUGCCUUUGGGCAGUUUCGUUUGAAAUGUCCGAUUUCUCCACAACCAUAGUAGGCCUGUCCAUUACUUGAUCCAGAAGCUUGAUGGAUUAGAUGAACUGGUGUUUUGCAAUUUUGAGCAGGGUGGCCCUUUUUGCCACAUCUUUUGCAGAUCCUUUUGAAACACGGGCCAGGGGUAUAAUGGUGAUAUUUGCACUUGAUGCACCAAGGGAGAUUUCCCGCAUAUCCAGUGGUAGGUACUUGAGCUAUAGGCAUAGCAACAGGAGUAGCAGCAGCUUGAACUGUAGGCACAACGACAGGAGUAGUGACAGCUUGACCUGCCACAGUUUCACGCCUCUUGGAGGGUCCUUGGGAACUCUGACCUUUUCGCUUUUUACUCUUAUCGUUUUCAUUUUGAUGCUCCUGAACAUUUCUAUGGUUUUGGGGGUAGGGGUUAUAUCCUGGACCAAUGGAUAUGUUAGGGUUCAAGAUCGUUAUUGCAGAUAUCACUGCAGCAGAGACAACCAGCUGGAGCGUCACAGGAUCGAAGCGAGAUGAGGGUGGCGACGGAGGGCUGUUGUUACUUGAAUUGGAUCCUCUCUUUGAAGACAUUUCGAUCUAAAGCGAUUAGGAAAAAGAGGAUGGUAAGUCCCCUACAUUAAAUCAAGAGAUAUGAAACAAAGAAUAUCUCUUUAAGACAAUAAUAUAAAUCUAUUAAGCGAUGAAGCGAGAAUGAAUUAUCAAAGCAGAUAAGUUAUCACUAAAGGAAUGAUCGAGGAAUAACGCGGAUACAAGAAUUUCUACAAAGGAUCGGCUCGAGAAAUACUCCCAUAGUAUUUCAUGGUUCGUUGCAGCGUCGAUUUGUUGUUUGGAAUAUUAGGUAAGUUUUAGGUAUGCCGUAUGCCACAGUCACUCCCAAGCACAUGUUGGCCGUGUCUCGAAUGAAUAUAGUUGGCCAGGCUAUAUUGACCCUAGACACGACUACAUAACUGCUCAGGUUUAACCGCAGUGUACAACACCCAUUUACUUAUGUUUUGUUCUACUUAUAGUUACGGAUUUCGACGGCUCGGCAUACUUAAAUACUUUUGAAAAUACUUAUAUAUUGUAAGAUACUUUUAGUUCAGAGCACUUAGGCCCCUUAAUGUUUAUAGUCUUAUACCAUGUAAGGUUUGGUAUACUCUGUUCACUAUAAACAAGGGCUCUGAUACCAAUCUGUCACACCCCGAAAACCAAAGGCGGAAACGUUCCCGGGGUUGACUCCAUGUUGUGUAUCAAAUCCAAUGUACAUAGUAAUCACAGUAAACAACCAUUACAUUACAUAUAUAUAUGAAAGUUUACAUUUGGUUCAAAAGUAAAUUGUACAAAAGUUAUACAUAUAUCAUAUGAACAAAAGAGACGAGUCUUCGGAGCACUCCGUCUUCACCAAAAGAUAUCGCCGGGUACCUGUCUAACUUGGACCUGAGAAUACAAGCGGUUUGAAAAUCAGCAUAAAGCUGGUGAGUUCAUAAGCGGUUUUGUUUUGUGAAAAUGUAUCGAUUUCCUUUAGUUUUCUGAAAAGAUUUGAUAUCCAAGAAAAUCCCAUAUUUUCUUAUGUAAAGUAGUUAAGUUAUCUUUCGUUACAGUUCUGUUACAGAUAUAAGUUAACCCCAGGAAAAUCCCAUAUUUUCCUAAUUGUAAGAUUGAUUUGAUAACACAUAGUAUAGUUUAAUACACAAAACUAUAAUUUAGACGAACUGUAAAUAGAAAGUAUUUUGAAAACCUUGGGACUACAUCCCGAACCAGUUAUAAGAUAAUUCGAUAAAAACCAUGGGAUCACUAUCCCGAAAGUAGAUAUAAGAUAGCUUGAUAAACCAUGGGAUCACUAUCCCGAAACUAGAUAUAUGAUAGAUUGAUAAAAUCAUGGGAUUAUCAUCCCGUAUAAGAUUUAGUUUCAAAACCAUGGGAUUACCAUCCCGAACGAAAUAUAGACACAAGAUCAUGGGAUUAUCAUCCCGAACGAGAUAUAGACAUAAAACCAUGGGAUUACCAUCCCGAACGAGAUAUAGAUACAAGACCAUGGGAUUAUCAUCCCGAACAGGAUAUAGAUUCUAAACAAAAUCCUAGCUGUGAAUAAGUUUAUAUUAAUACGUAUUGUGAGUCGGGUAACCAUGCUGAUAUGACAACGAGACCUCCUUGACGUUAGUCAGACGUCGAAUGAUAUACAGAAUUUGUCACCCCAGGCGUGCCCGCCUAACUGUAGCUAGCAGUUAAGGUGUGGGAUUGUCAGUCCCGAAUAGAUCUAUUCACAAAUUCCUCGCUCUCCCUCCAGGAGACUCUGGUUACACUUCCGGAGAGGAUUUACUUGAUCAUCCAUAAAGGGUAGUGACUAUCUCACAAGCUAGUAUUAAACUAUUCACAGGAUUCUCAUACGAUACCAAACAUACAAAGAUUUCAAGACAUGAUACAGUGAAAAAUAGAUACAUACAAUGAAACUAUCUGGCAAAACAUUCGAAUGAUACGGAGAUAAACUGAAUCAGACAUAGUUUAUCUAAUAACUUAAUACAGAUAUCAGUACAUGAUAUAAAGAGAAACAUAGAACCCCAAAUUAUUCCCAUAAUAAUUUGAUUAGUUUGAUUAUUUUCUUAACUAAAAUCCAUUUAGUUGUAAUUGAUAAAUCAUUCCUUAUGCUCAACAUAAUACAUAAGGAGUAAAAGAGUUUAUAAGUUUGCCAGAUAUUAUUUGAAACACAUAAAUGUUAUGAUUUGAAAACAGUUAUGGUUUGCUUGUAUUCCCCCCCUGAAAACAGUUAAAAACAGUGAAAAAGGCGUAGGGGUAUGAACUCACCGGACGAGAAGUAUGACGAUUUGGAUGCUAAGAGUUGAUCCGGGGCUUGUAAAUACACGAGGUUCCUAAUUAUAAUGUAAAGAUACACAUUUGUAUCUAAUUAGGACUUAGAUUGAUUGUUGGAUAGGGACAAUUGCUUCUAGUCGCGAAAACACUCCGAUACGAGUGUUUGGAGGGACCCGGGUGGCGUUUAAGGAUGUGAAAUGACACUAGGGACUUGGGACUUGAGUUUACUCCCCAUGAGUAAACUUUUAAAUGAGUUUACAACCACAAAACACACACAUACAUGAGUUUACGGCCGUAAACUCAUGUGGGUGUGGUUUUGGGUGUUUAAAUGGCUUAAAUGGCUUACAUGGACAUGGGAAAUGAUUCUAGGCUUUGUUCUAAAUGCAUGGAAUGGAUUAAAAUCACCAAAAUGAUUAAUUUAUGGGAGUUUACGGCCUAGCAUAGGCUCCUGGCCGUAAACUCCUUAAUCCUUAUGAAAAUGAUGCUAAAUGGUGCUAGAACAAAUCACAUGUGAUUGGUAAAAUUAAUCCAAGGCCUAACAUGAGUUUGUAUGGGAUUUUUGGGGGAUUUAUGGAGUUUACGGCCCAUGAAACCCCCUUCAUGGCCGUAAACUCUUGUGUGUGGUGUUCCAAGGUGUUUCAAGGUCUAGAACAUGCAUGAAAGGACUUCUAAAAUUCAUCUAAGGGCCUUAGGGGUGUGUAGUUUGCAUUCUAACACCAAAAAUUUUGGAGUUUACGGCCCAAGAACAGGUCUUGGCCGUAAACUCUUAGAAACCCCAUAAAAGAUGUGUUUUAGGCCCUUAAAGUAUUUUUGGUUGGUCCCUUGAUUUAUUCCAAGGCUUUUGGUGGUGUUGGAUGGCUUUCUAACACCUUAGAAUGAGAUUUAUGCCAAGUUUUGUGGAGUUUACGGCCCAAGAACUCUCCUUGGCCGUAAACUCAUCUAAGUCCCUCAAAAUUAAUGUUUCAAGUGUCCAAAUGCAAGAAUCAAAGUCCUAUAAUUCAUAUCUAAGCUGUAGGGGUGAUUUGGAAGGGU
rnacentral:lncRNA from 1 species